AAGUCGUAUGCUAGGAAGGCAAAUCCGCCGAAUUCAAUAUAUAUAUUAAGCGGAAGAAAAGAAAAUAAAUAUGAUUCUUUGAAUAACGUUUAGUGAAAAAAGAAAAGCUCAAGAGGAAAAUCGUUAUAAAGCGAAUUGUCUUGUUGGAAAACGUACUAAAAAAGACUGACUUUGCAUAGUGAAAAGUAAGCAGGAAAGCUUUCCCAUAGAGGGUGAAAGGCCCGUAAUUAUGCAAUGUUUUAUUUUUUGAUAUGUUUAAUCUUAGAAUUGUGCUUUUUAAAAUAAAAGCACGAAAACGUAUGAUAGAUUUCAUAUAAAGCUAAAUAUAUGUAGGAGACCGAUAGCAAACAAGUACCGUGAGGGAAAGAUGAAAUAGAACUCAGGAAUGAGCAAUUAAAAAGUACCUGAAAUCGUUAAGAUAAAACGGAUUAUAAUGGAAAAAUAGAAUGAGAAGGUAAGGAAUAUUUUCCUUUGGGGAAAUGUUCCUUUCUUCUUAUUUUAAAAGAAAAGAGAGUGAGAUAGGUAAUAAGACAGAACAAUUUUUGUGGAAUUAGGUAAUUUUAUCUUUUUCUAUAAUAACAAAAAUACGUGUUUUUAUUAAACUCAUCUCUGAAUGGGAAAAUUAUCUAACUUACUUAAUUAACAAUGGUAAAAAAUGAAUUCAUUUUUUACUUAUUAGGUCUUUUCUAAAAGUAACUAUUAUAACCCAUUCGUCUUGAAACACGAACCAAGGAGUCUAACAAAUGUGCAAGUAUGUGGAUGAAAAUUUUUAUAAUGAAAAAAAAAUAACGCAUACUUUAAUGUAGUAAAAUAACAUUAAAAUUUAGUAGAAGAGAUCGCACGAGGGAAAUGAUAUGGGCGCUCUGCAUGCUAUACUAGUCAACAAUAUAAUGUAUUGAGUACGAGCAUGUUUGUUAGGACCCGAGAGGCUUUGAACUAUGCGUGACGAGAUCUAAGUCAGACGAAAGUCUGUUGGAAGAUUGAAUUGAUAUAGACGUGUGAAAGCGUUCUUACGAGUUACGUUUAGGGGUGAAAGACUAAUCGAAAAGCCUAUUAGCUGGUUAUUUUCGAAAGAUCUCUCAAGAUCGCUGGAGUUGUUUGUGAUAUAGUUUUUCUAAUGGAGACAAAUAUGAGAAAAAUCAGGGUAUUUUUUUAUACUCGACUUGAAAUGUACUCAAAGUCGCCAAUUAGUAAUAGGUACAAAAAGUACAUUUGGCAUUUUUAGCCUUAUAUGCUUAAAACAACAAAUAGGAUAACUCCAAGUGGGGCCAUUUUUGGUAAUCAAAAACUGCCGAUGAGGGAUGCACCUAACGCUUGGAUAAGGUGCCUAAAUAUUUGCUAAUUAGAUACCAUAAUAGGUGUUGGUUUAUAAUGACAGUAGGACGGUAAUCUGGGAAGUAGAAAACCGCUAAGGAAUGUGUAGCAACUCACCUACCGAAUUAACUAGCCCUGAAAAUGGAUGGCGCUAAAGCAAAUUACCGAUACCAAGCCAUAGAUACAUAUAAUUAGACAUAUGGUAUCAUAUAAUAAAUUUAUAUUGAACCUAAGUCAUGUUGCUAUGAGUAGAAAAUCGUGGGGUUUGUAUUGAAGCGAGAUACGUGAGUUCUUGUGGAACAUACUCUAGUGCAGAUCUUGGUGGAAGUAGCAAUUAUUCAAAUGAGAACUUUGAAGACUAAAGUGGAGAAGGGUUUCUUGUCAACUGUAAUAGUACAAGAGUUAGCCGUUCCUAAGAGAAAACUGAAUAGUGUUUUUGUGGGAAAUUUAACGCGUUCUCAGUACGCGUGUAUUGCAUCCCUAUCUCGAAAGGGAAACAGGUUGAUAUUCCUGUGCCAAUGUAUUUUGAGUAAUAUUAAAGAUGGUAACAUAUAUAUAAAUGAACUCCUUCACGUAGGCCUUACGCUCGGGGUGCGUUUUCUUUGCACUUUAACUCUAUAGCUAACCUUGGAAUCAAUUUACUUGGAGAAAAGGUUUGCCGAAACAAUUCAGGAAAACUAUUUAGUGUAACUUUACGUUUUGCUUUUUAGAUAUCCUGUUUUGUAGUAAAAGUAAUUCGUUUUUAUGAAUUAUCCGAAGUAGUAAGGACUACCCUUGAAAAGAGGAGGGAACAGCAAAUAGUAGAAAAAAAUGGUCUCGGUUAUAUCCUUGAUUUUGAACCUGCAUUUGUAUACUCUAAAUAUCAAUAAGAGCGUACCGAUCACCGCAUAAGGUCUCCAAGGUUAAUAGCCUCUGGUUAAAUAGGAUAAAGUAGGUAAGGGAAGUCGGCAAAAUAUAGAUCCGUAACUUCGGGAAAAGGAUUGGCUCUGAGAACAUUAGAAUAGAGAAGAAGAAAAAUGUUUAAAAAUAAAGAUUGGAUAUAUAUAAUUCUUGCAGAAUUCGUUUUCUUAUGGUUUAAUGUCUUUCCAUAAUUUGUUUUUCUUAUGUUUAACUUUCUCUUUAUUCGCCUUCAUUCGUAUUUUUGCGUUUCGGCGUAUUGUUUACUUUUGAUACUAAUAAUGUUAAAUCAGAACUGAAACGGACAAAGGGAAUCUUAAUGUUUAAUUAAAACAUAGCAUUGUGACAAAACCAUCACUGGUAUUGUAUACACAAUGUGAUUUCUGCCCAGUGCUUUGAAUGUCAACUUGAUGAAAUUCAAUAAAGCGAAGGUUAACGGCGGGAGUAACUAUGACUCUCUUAAGAUAACCAAAUGCUUCGUCAUUUAAUUUGUGACGAUGCAUGAACAGAUUAAAGAGAUUCCCACUGUCCCUACUUGCUAUCUAGCGAAACCACAACCAAGGAAACGGGCUUGGUAAAAUCAGCGGGGAAAGAAGACCCUGUUGAGCUUUACUCUAGUCUGGCUUUGUGAAACGACUUUAGAGGUGUAGCAUACGUGGGAGUAGAAAAUGAAAUAUGUUUUUACGACAGUGAAAUACCACUACUUUUAAAGUUGUUUUACUAAUCUGUUUAUAAGGAGAUAUAAAAGUAUGUUUUCCUUGCGGAAAAUUUUCAUACUGUUCUGUAUUUAUAAGCGGUUCUGCUUAGUAUUACGCUAGUAGUCUGCUUUGCUCUUUAUUUAUGGAGACAUAGCCAGGUGGGGAGUUGGAUUCGGGCCGUAUAUCUGUUUAAUAACGAAGAUGUACAAAGACAAGCUCAAAGAGUACAGAAAUCUCUUGUAGACUAAAAGUGGAAAAAGCUUGUUUAAUUUCUAUUUUCAUAAAAAGUAGAAAACGUGAAAGCGUGGCCUAUCAAUCCUUUAUGUUUGCAAAAUUUACGGAAUUUAUCUUCCUAUUUGUGCAUACUUAGAGGUGUUUGAAAAAGUUACCACAGGGAUAACUGGCUUGUGGCUGCCAAGCGUUCUUAGCGACGUAGCUUUUUGAUAUUUCGAUGUCAGUUCUUCCUAUCAUUGAGACGCAGAAGUCUCAAAGUGUCGGAUUGUUCACCCGCUAAUAGGGAACGUGAGCUGGGUUUAGACCGUCGUGAGACAGGUUAGUUUUACCCCUACUGAUGAAAAUCAUUAUUCUUAUGUAUAUGUUGUAUUGUGACAGUAAUCCAACUUAGUACGAGAGGAUUAGUUGGUUCAGACAUUUGGUGUAGCAAUUGGUUGACAAAACAGCAUUGCGAAGCUAAGUCUGUUGGUAAAUGGCUGAAAACCUCUUAAGCCAGAAACCAUGCUGAUUAAACAAUACUAUUUCGUUCUUUUUUGUUUUUUUUUACUAAUGUAAAAGAGAAAUAAUAUAUGUAUUUCUUUCGAAAUGCAUAAAUAAUCCUAAAACCUUUUUCUCCUAGGCUGUUGGUUCGUGAACUGUGUAUUUAUGAUGCAAAUUGUGAAUUUAUAGUUUUUGAGCUACUUAUGUUUGGGAACUUGGUUAUACUUAAUUUAACUACAAAAAAAGAAAUAAACACAAACUGUAGACGACUUAUAUUGCCUCAGGGUGCUAUAAACAUGAAAGUAAACUUUGUUUUACUAUCUGUUGAGGCUUAUCCUAUUUUGAGGUAGUGAAA
rfam:Plasmodium ovale curtisi genome assembly, contig: contig2140